AUUGAACGCUGGCGGCAGGCCUAACACAUGCAAGUCGAGCGGAUGAAGGGAGCUUGCUCCUGGAUUCAGCGGCGGACGGGUGAGUAAUGCCUAGGAAUCUGCCUGGUAGUGGGGGAUAACGUCCGGAAACGGGCGCUAAUACCGCAUACGUCCUGAGGGAGAGAGUGGGGGAUCUUCGGACCUCACGCUAUCAGAUGAGCCUAGGUCGGAUUAGCUAGUUGGUGGGGUAAAGGCCUACCAAGGCGACGAUCCGUAACUGGUCUGAGAGGAUGAUCAGUCACACUGGAACUGAGACACGGUCCAGACUCCUACGGGAGGCAGCAGUGGGGAAUAUUGGACAAUGGGCGAAAGCCUGAUCCAGCCAUGCCGCGUGUGUGAAGAAGGUCUUCGGAUUGUAAAGCACUUUAAGUUGGGAGGAAGAGCAGUAAGUUAAUACCUUACUGUUUUGACGUUACCAACAGAAUAAGCACCGGCUAACUUCGUG
rnacentral:rRNA from 1 species